UACGUAGGCGGCUAUUCAAGUCAGGGGUGAAAGCCUGGAGCUCAACUCCAGAACUGCCCUUGAAACUAGAUAGCUAGAAUCUUGGAGAGGCGAGUGGAAUUCCGAGUGUAGAGGUGAAAUUCGUAGAUAUUCGGAAGAACACCAGUGGCGAAGGCGACUCGCUGGACAAGUAUUGACGCUGAGGUACGAAAGCGUGGGGAGCAAACA
rnacentral:rRNA from 1 species